rnacentral:lncRNA from 1 species
AAAUUCAACAUUACAUUAAUUAAAAUAAAAUAAAAAUUACAUUAAUUGAAAUCACGAUCCAUUUCUCGAACUAAUUUAGAGAGAAUAAAUUGAAAUUAAAAUUGAGGGAAUAGAUUGAAAUGCGAAGAGAAAAUUGUGUUGGAUGUUAAAAUAUUUAUGGGGAAAUAUGUAGUAUAUAUAGAGAAAGAAAAGAAAAAAAAUAUGGAAGAAAGAUACGUUG